rnacentral:rRNA from 1 species
GGCCGAAGUAACUGUUUCCCGCUAGGGGAGAAAAAUCAUUAGCCUUUUAAUUGAAGGCCAGUAUAAAAGAUUUGACAUAGAGCUUCCUGUCUCAGACUAAUUAGUAGGAUUUUAUAUUAGGGUAAAAAAGCCCUAAUAUACUAAAAGGACGAUAAGACCCCAAAAUCCGGUUUAAUCAAUAAGUCGAGUUUGAGAUACGACAUUAUGAGACUUUGCCUACACGGGGCGGUAAUAAUAACUUUACACUAUCAUGUACUCAACACUGGGCGAGAUUUAUUAUCCCCUUAGUGAAUAAUAUAAGACACUUUGGGGAUCACAGCAUAAUAUAUUUUUAGAGCCCAUGGUGACAAAUGUGUUUGAGACCUCGAUGUAGAAGUGAAUACCGUGUACUUAGAAGAAUAAGCUGCAGGUAGUCUCGGUCGCUUUUAAUAAUUCACGUGAUUUGAGUUCCACAGCCG